GAUGAACGCUGGCGGCGUGCCUAAUACAUGCAAGUCGAGCGAACAGACGAGGAGCUUGCUCCUCUGACGUUAGCGGCGGACGGGUGAGUAACACGUGGAUAACCUACCUAUAAGACUGGGAUAACUUCGGGAAACCGGAGCUAAUACCGGAUAAUAUAUUGAACCGCAUGGUUCAAUAGUGAAAGACGGUUUUGCUGUCACUUAUAGAUGGAUCCGCGCCGCAUUAGCUAGUUGGUAAGGUAACGGCUUACCAAGGCAACGAUGCGUAGCCGACCUGAGAGGGGGGUCGGCCACACUGGAACUGAGACACGGUCCAGACUCCUACGGGAGGCCGCAGUAGGGAAUCGUCCGCAAUGGGCGAAAGCUUGACGGAGCAACGCCGCGUGAGUGAUGAAGGUCUUCGGAUCGUAAAACUCUGUUAUUAGGGAAGAACAAAUGUGUAAGUAACUAUGCACGUCUUGACGGUACCUAAUCAGAAAGCCACGGCUAACUACGUG
rnacentral:rRNA from 1 species